CUUAUUGAACAGUCCCUUCAGACCCUGGAGUUGUCUGUUCUGAAGACACAAAAGAACCAACCACAAGUUAAGCAAAUGCCAUCACAUCAACAACUUGCCUUGAAAAUGACAGCUCCAUGAAAAAUGAAUAUAAACCAAAAUCGUACAGCCAUUGAAAUAUAUUCAAACCAAGAAAGCAGCAGCUCACAGCAUGUUUGCACAACUUCAUGCACAUCUUAUCAACCUUACUUUGCAAGGACUUCAGCCUUCCAUUCUUACAUCAAGCUUUCCCAGAAGUUUCCUACCCAGAGAUGACAAAGUGGUAGGAAAAGUCUCCACAGCUCAUAGACUGCUAUGAACUUCAGGCGCCUUAAAGCAACAGAUGCAUGUUUCAAAGUGAUGAGAGGCAAGACCCCAACAAGCAGCACAAACAGAAAUCCAGGACUAAACACAGGAAGUUAUGGUAUAAAACUUCACGAGUCUUAGAAAUUAGGAUCCUUACCCCCACCUCCACGCCCUUGCUGACAGAUAUGAAAAUAAACUUUACACUCCCUAAUUCAUGCUGAAAUGGUCCAUUCCUUAUUAGUUAGGUUGUAGUCAUAAUAACAUUAAUAUUAGCCAACAUUUCUGAGCAUUUACUGCGUACCAGGCAGCUUUCUAAGGAUAAGAUAUAUAUUUAUUUAUGAGAUAGGUAUUAUUUUUAUCCCACAUUCACAGAUGAGGAAGCUUCCAGCUAUACAGAUUUUCUGGCAAAGAGCACGGGACAUUUCUAGGCCCCAUUCAAUGCUUUAACAGUCCCUCCAAAUCCCGUGUGGUCCUGAAAAUUCAUACUGGUAACCAAGUCCCCAAUUACUUGACAUGACCAGAGGACAACCUAUUGAUUUGUAAACCUCAAAUGAGUUCUAUAACCAAGACAACAGCAUCAGGAAAGAACUAGAAUGCAUUUACAUGGUCGCCUUUUCAGUCCUAUAGGUAGCUUUAAAAUCCAUUCACAAUUUUUAGAUUUUCAGUUAAAAACAUUGGUACCAAAUGAAUGUAGCCUGCCUAGAAGUCGCUGGGAUCACAGCCCAGUUAGUACAGGUAACUCAUCAACCAUCUGAGACACUGCAUUUCCCACUGAGGCCAGUUGAGUCUUUUUAAGGAUUAAAAUAAAACUCAACAUUUAACUAUAUCUUCAUUGUUUUAGCCCAACAGAUUACUGCCUGAGAGAAUAAUAGUUUUCUCAAUUCUAUUAAGCCCAGAGAGGGCCCCUGUAUAGAAGAAAUGAGUACACACCUUAAAUAGUGAAAAGAGUACAGGUGGAUCAGGACAUGACUGGAAUAGCAGACUGGGCUUGCUGGGCCUCCUUAGAGUUUUUGGUUCAAGAACAGUUUGUCAAAAUUUACAUUCCUAUUAUGCAAUUAAUCAGUAGCAUUGUUAAGGACCAUAUUAAUGUAUAUGACUUUAAAUCCUAUGAUCUUUCUCACCUUUCCAUAGAUUUCAUUGAUGGUUAUGUGUACAAAUAUGGAUGCUUCUGUCAGUCCUUCCAAAUAGACAUGCCGGUAGCCUGAUAAAAGGAAAGAGAGUCGUUUCUUUUUAGUUGAACUUGCAUUUGGCUUUCUCAUGGGUGCAACAAAAUUAAGUAUCUGACUUGACUGUAGUUCUUUUUUUUUUUGAGACAGAGUGUUGCUCUGUUGCCCAGGCUGGAAUGCAGUGGCAUGAUCUUGGCUCACUGCAAACCCCGCCUCCUGGGUUCAAGCAAUUCUCCUGCCUCGGCUUCCCGAAUAGCUGGGAUU
rnacentral:lncRNA from 10 species